GACGAACGCUGGCGGCGUGCCUAAUACAUGCAAGUAGAACGCUGAAGAGAGGAGCUUGCUCUUCUUGGAUGAGUUGCGAACGGGUGAGUAACGCGUAGGUAACCUGCCUUGUAGCGGGGGAUAACUAUUGGAAACGAUAGCUAAUACCGCAUAACAAUGGAUGACACAUGUCAUUUAUUUGAAAGGGGCAAUUGCUCCACUACAAGAUGGACCUUCGUUGUAUUAGCUAGUAGGUGAGGUAAGGGCUCACGUAGGCGAGGAUACAUAGCCGACCUGAGAGGGGGAUGGGCCACACUGGGAGUGAGACACGGCCCAGACGCCUAGGGGAGGCGGCAGUAGGGAAUCUGCGGCAAGGGGGGCAACCCUGACCGAGCAACGCCGAGUGAGUGAAGAAGGUUGUCGGAUCGUAAAGCUCUGUUGUAAGUCAAGAACGGGUGUGAGAGUGGAAAGUUCACACUGUGACGGUAGCUUACCAGAAAGGGACGGCUAACUACGUG
rnacentral:rRNA from 1 species